rnacentral:rRNA from 1 species
CUCUCUCUGCCGAAGCAAAUGUGUUAAGUGCCCCGCCUGGGGAGUACGGUCGCAAGGCUAAAACUCAAAGGAAUUGACGGGGGCUCACACAAGCGGUGGAGCAUGUGGUUCAAUUCGAAGCAACGCGAAGAACCUUACCCGGGUUUGAAAUCCACGGAUGGGUCUGAUGAAAGUCGGAUACUCUGCCCGCAAGGGUGAAACGUGGACAGGUGUUGCAUGGCUGUCGUCAGCUCGUGUCGUGAGAUGUCGGGUUAAGUCCCUCAACGAGCGAAACCCUUGUCUCUAGUUGCCAACGGUUCGGCCGGGGACUCUAGAGAGACUGCCGUUGUGAAAACGGAGGAAGGUGGGGAUGACGUCAAGUCAUCAUGGCCUUUAUGUCCGGGGCUACACACGUGCUACAAUGGUCGGUACAAAGGGAUGCAAAGCCGCGAGGUAGAGCAAAACCCAGAAAACCGACCCCAGUUCAGAUUGGAGGCUGCAACCCGCCUCCAUGAAGAUGGAAUCGCUAGUAAUCGCGGAUCAGCUACGCCGCGGUGAAUAUGUUCCUGGGCCUUGUACACACCGCCCGUCAAGCCACGAAAGCUGGCAGUACCCGAAGUCGUGUACCCAACCGCAAGGAGGGAAGCGCCCACGGUAAGGCCGGUGAUU